GUGAGGUGUCCUGUUAAGUCAGGCAACGAGCGAGACCCCUACUGUUAAUUGCUACCAUUACCCUUCGGGGUGGUGGAGCUAGUUGGCAGGACUGCCGCCGCUAAGGCGGAGGAAGGAAGGGGCAACGGCAGGUCAGUAUGCCCCGAAACUCCCGGGCCACACGCGGGCUGCAAUGGUAGAGACAAUGGGUUCCUACCCCGAAAGGGGGAGGCAAUCCCCAAACUCUACCUCAGUUGUGAUUGAGGGCUGCAACCCGCCCUCAUGAAUCUGGAAUCCCUAGUAACCGCGUGUCAUCACCACGCGAUGAAUACGUCCCUGCUCCUUGCACACACCGCCCGUCGCUUCACCCGAGUUGGGUUUGGGCGAGGUGGCGCCUAAUUGACGUCAUCGAACCUGAGCUCGGCAAGGGGGGAGAAGUCGUAACAAGGUGGCCGUAGGGGAACCUGCGGCCGGAUCACCUCCU
rnacentral:rRNA from 1 species